GGUAAUGUGGUUCAGAUUUCUACAUCAAGGGCCAUUCUCACCCCCCCAAUGGCAAAGCAAAAGGGCCACAAGUGUUCCUCAUCAUUCUCAGAGAGUGCCACAUGUCCCUUGGAUUGACUUUACCCCAUACACAAGUUCCAUCAUUGCCAGCAGCAAUAUAUUCUCUCUCGGCUACUUUACCAAAUUCAAUUGUUAGCCUCUCUCUCACACAAUCGUGUCACGGGAAAUUUGAGUCUAGAUAGAUAUACAUAGUUGUAUAGCUUGUGUAAUUGACAAUUUAGCAUACUAAUCUAAUAGUUAAAAUUUCUCAUUUAUAUAUAUAUAUAUAUCGAAACCAUUAAUUUAUUAGAGAAAUAUUAGACUUUAGACCGAAUUGAAACGACCCAAUGACAAAUCGAAAUCAUGAAAAAUUAAGAGGGAUGAAAAGGAAAACAAUAGGGCGGGUGGUAAACACCACUACAAAAUCUGACGGACAAACGAUAACACCAGCGAUAACAGAACAUAGAGAGGGGAUGGAAACGGAGCGGUGACCGGUUUAAACCCAUUGCAUGAUCGGAAGCUCACUCUCAUUCCCCCCCUAAACCAAAACGAUGUCGUUCUCUCACCACCGUCGAUCUCAAUCCGAGAUGCAUUUCCGCAUCCCCAACGACUUCGACCUCGAGGUGGAUCUCUCUCCGCCGCAUCAUUUCCAAGAUCCGGUCCCGUUCCAUACCCCAAUCUCCGCAUCUGGAAACCCGUCGCUCCGGUCACCGGAGAAGCAACUCCCCCGACGCCUCUUCCUCCUCGUUGGUCGACGCCAUUGAUGCCGAGAAGGCCUUGUCCCCCUAUAAGCUCGCUCAAUUGUGGACCGUUGAUCCCAAACGAGCCAAGAGGUACGUACGUUUCCGCAUCAUCAUCAUGAUAUAUCGUUUCCUUGCAUUCUCAAAUUAACCUUUUCGAUUGAAUGGUGCGUGUGAUUCAAUCUCUUCAAACGGAAGCAACCGCUCUUUCCGCUCAAUUAAGUCUUUUCCAGAGAGAUACAACUGGUCUGACUACUGAAAAUACGGAGUUGAAGCUUAGGUUACAAGGCAUGGAACAACAAGCUAACUUAUGUGAUGCACUGAAGAACGAAGUUGAUAGGCUCAAGAUUGCAACUGGAGAGAUAGUAAUGCAUACCGAUGCCUAUGGUUUGGGACUGCAUCCACUUACAUAUUCUCAAGCUCCAUUCUUCUCACAUCAGUCACAACAUGGGCAGAGAGAACUUCAGGCCAUGAAAAUGUGGGACUGGACAUAGGCAACGGGGUUUCUCAUAAUCUGAUGCCAGAUUGUCCAUCCAUUUGUGUUAAUAAUAUCAACAAUGCCUUUUGAUGCAAAUUAGACUGACCAACAUGUCACCAGCCUUUUUAUUGGAGUGUUCAUAGACUGACAUGAGUGAGACCUAAAGGUAUUGAUUUUAUUUUUUUUUCUAUUUAAUUAAGUGCAAAUUUGGAUUAGUUCAUCUUGAAAAAAUAACUUUUGCAUUUUUUAAAGGAAAAAAAGUAUUUAUCACCCCAAAAAUAAGUUGAAACAAUAAAUUUCACAUCUUGUGUGGCUUGGUUAGGCUUAAAUUAAUUUAUGUAGAUAAAAAUGUGAGAGGUUUUUUCAAGUUAUAUAAUCCAUUCUGGUCCAUUUUUUACAUUACUGGGAGAAUUUGUACUUAAUUGCACCUUCCAUGCACACAACUUUUUUUACUUCAGUCUGUGUGUACACGUUUUUUGCACUUAAGACAGACUAGCAGGUGUUUCUGACAGUUCUCAUUUUCUACCAUGUUGCGCAAAGAACCAUUUGUCAUCAACUUUAAUUGCAACUAUUCAUUCAUAUGGACAUGGUGUGCCAUGGAUGGACCAUCAUAUUUAUAUUUUUGUGGAAACAUAAGUUAGACCUGUUUUGUUGGUUUACUCUCCUGUCAAUUUUAAAGAAGCCAUUUGAAUGAGGGCCUCAAAUGUCCACAGAGUUUACUAGUUUGGUAUCGUGUUAGGCGAGAAAUAAAUGGCAAGCACUUCUAGUUAUCAUGGUCCCUUCUAUCUUCUCUGUUGUCUUUACUGUUAGUUUUUCAUUUUAAUUUUCCCCUUCUCAGGCAUUUUAUGUGGCAAGUUUGCUGAUAAGAUUGCAGAAAGAGUUGUAUAUUGUUAAAAUUAUCUACAUUUUGAAAAUUAGAUUGGUCAUUGAAUCACUGGAAAAUAUGUAGUUCAUUUGUUUGUUUUA